rnacentral:ncRNA from 1 species
UUAAGGGCAAAGAAGAGGAGAGUAGCCUUUUUCUUGACUUCCAGAGAGGAAAGCCUAAGGCUGAGAGGCUUUCUAAGUCGAGAAAAGGUGAACACCACCUUGGAGCUCCAUGCUGAAAUUCCUAAGUGGAAGAGUAAGCAUUGGCGGUUGAUCCCGUUAUAGAUCAAGAGAAAGUCCCUUUGGGGACUUAUUAAGGUGGAACCGCGGGAACUCCCGUCCUUUAC